UACGGAGGGUGCGAGCGUUGUCCGGAAUCACUGGGCGUAAAGGGCGCGUAGGCGGCCUGAUAAGUAGGGGGUGAAAUCCUGCGGCUUAACCGCAGGGCUGCCUUCUAAACUGUCAGGCUAGAGCACAGUAGAGGCAGGUGGAAUUCCCGGUGUAGCGGUGGAAUGCGUAGAGAUCGGGAGGAACACCUGUGGCGAAGGCGGCCCCCUGGUCGGAUACUGACGCUGAGACGCGAAAGCGUGGGGAGCAAACAGG
rnacentral:rRNA from 1 species